rnacentral:rRNA from 1 species
UACGUAGGAGGCGAGCGUUGUCCGGAAUCACUGGGUGUAAAGCGCGUGUAGGCGGCCUGCCAAGUCUGCUGUGAAAGCGCCUGGCUUAACCGGGCGAGGUCGGUGGAAACUGGCGGGCUGGAGGUCGGUAGAGGGGGGUGGAAUUCCCGGUGUAGUGGUGAAAUGCGUAGAGAUCGGGAGGAACACCGGUGGCGAAGGCGGCGACCUGGGUCGAGACUGACGCUGAGGCGCGAAAGCGUGGGGAGCAAACAGG